rnacentral:rRNA from 1 species
CCUACGGGACGCACCAGUGGGGAAUAUUGCACAAUGGGCGCAAGCCUGAUGCAGCCAUGCCGCGUGUGUGAAGAAGGCCUUCGGGUUGUAAAGCACUUUCAGCGGGGAGGAAGGCAUUAAGGUUAAUAACCUUGGUGAUUGACGUUACUCGCAGAAGAAGCACCGGCUAACUCCGUGCCAGCAGCCGCGGUAAUACGGAGGGUGCAAGCGUUAAUCGGAAUUACUGGGCGUAAAGCGCACGCAGGCGGUCUGUCAAGUCGGAUGUGAAAUCCCCGGGCUCAACCUGGGAACUGCAUUCGAAACCGGCAGGCUAGAGUCUUGUAGAGGGGGGUAGAAUUCCAGGUGUAGCGGUGAAAUGCGUAGAGAUCUGGAGGAAUACCGGUGGCGAAGGCGGCCCCCUGGACAAAGACUGACGCUCAGGUGCGAAAGCGUGGGGAGCAAACAGGAUUAGAUACCCCCGUAG